rnacentral:rRNA from 1 species
UACAGAGGUCCCAAGCGUUGUUCGGAUUCACUGGGCGUAAAGGGUGCGUAGGCGGUCGGGUAAGUCUGAUGUGAAAUCUCCAAGCUCAACUUGGAAAUGGCAUCGGAUACUAUUCGGCUUGAGGAGUGGAGGGGAGACUGGAAUUCUCGGUGUAGCAGUGAAAUGCGUAGAUAUCGAGAGGAACACCAGUGGCGAAGGCGAGUCUCUGGACACUUCCUGACGCUGAGGCACGAAAGCCAGGGGAGCAAACAGG